GACGAACGCUGGCGGCGUGCCUAAUACAUGCAAGUUGAGCGCUGAAGGUUGGUACUUGUACCAACUGGAUGAGCAGCGAACGGGUGAGUAACGCGUGGGGAAUCUGCCUUUGAGCGGGGGACAACAUUUGGAAACGAAUGCUAAUACCGCAUAAAAACUUUAAACACAAGUUUUAAGUUUGAAAGAUGCAAUUGCAUCACUCAAAGAUGAUCCCGCGUUGUAUUAGCUAGUUGGUGAGGUAAAGGCUCACCAAGGCGAUGAUACAUAGCCGACCUGAGAGGGUGAUCGGCCACAUUGGGACUGAGUCACGGCCCAAACUCCUACGGGAGGCAGCAGUAGGGAAUCUUCGGCAAUGGACGAAAGUCUGACCGAGCAACGCCGCGUGAGUGAAGAAGGUUGUCGGAUCGUAAAACUCUGUUGGUAGAGAAGAACGUUGGUGAGAGUGGAAAGCUCAUCAAGUGACGGUAACUACCCAGAAAGGGACGGCUAACUACGUG
rnacentral:rRNA from 1 species